rnacentral:rRNA from 1 species
GAACUCAGAAGUGAAACGAAACAGCGUCGAUGGUAGUGUGGGGUCUCCCCAUGUGAGAGUAGAACAUCGCCAGGC